rnacentral:rRNA from 1 species
UAGGGAAUCUUCCACAAUGGACGCAAGUCUGAUGGAGCAACGCCGCGUGAGUGAAGAAGGUUUUCGGAUCGUAAAGCUCUGUUGUUGGUGAAGAAGGAUAGAGGUAGUAACUGGCCUUUAUUUGACGGUAAUCAACCAGAAAGUCACGGCUAACUACGUGCCAGCAGCCGCGGUAAUACGUAGGUGGCAAGCGUUGUCCGGAUUUAUUGGGCGUAAAGCGAGCGCAGGCGGAAGAAUAAGUCUGAUGUGAAAGCCCUCGGCUUAACCGAGGAACUGCAUCGGAAAAUGUUUUUCUUGAGUGCAGAAGAGGAGAGUGGAACUCCAUGUGUAGCGGUGGAAUGCGUAGAUAUAUGGAAGAACACCAGUGGCGAAGGCGACUCUCUGGUCUGCAACUGACGCUGAGGCUCGAAAGCAUGGGUAGCGAACAGG